CAGAGAGGAAAUAGUCACUACGUGGUUUCUUCCCCAAGAAGGGCACCAUUUUCCCCCCCAAAUGGAGCGAAAAAAAACAACCUGACAGGACCGCCGGAAAACGCCGGUGCCCGACGCUGAUUGGGCGAACGCUCUCUGAUUGGCAACGGCCGUCGCCUUGCUCUGCACUGCGAUUGGUCGGGUUGCCGCUGCCCUGAUCCAGCCCCCGCCCUCCUCCAGCAGAUCUGCAUCUGUCAGAGAGCCGCCGCGUUCCUGAUGGGCCGAAUGCCCCCUUCCCCUCCCCCCCCCCCCCCAUCCCACCGGUGCAGCAACCUUUCUCUGUGAAUGCUGGAAACAUCGGGAGACACAAGAGACCGCAGGUGCUGGAAUCUGGAGCAACGCAAAAGGCGCUGGAGGACCUCAGCGGGUCAGGCAGCAUCGAUGGAGGGAAAUGGAGAGUCGACGUUUCUGGACUCGAUGAUCUUCAUCUGGUUCAGGUGAAGGAAGAAACAUGAAGAAGAAAACAGAGUAAACGUUUCAGAUCCGUGCCCUUUCAUCACAACGAUUUAUCUCCAUGAACAAAACCUGUUUGUUUUGUUUUUAUGCAUUCGUGUUUACGGAUGAUGGAGAUUAAAGGAAUGUGAAAAUGUUUUUCAACAACACUUGACUCUGCCUCUCAAACUCUCGUUCGUUGGAUUACUAAUCCACGUUAUGUAGAAUGUCUCCGAAAUAAAGCCGUUUUAAAACUAAA